AUGAAGGCAACUUUACGACUUUUCUUCUUAAACCUGCGCCUACUCACUAUGUCCAGGAGCUCAAUUGUGUCGACCCCAGGAGGUCUAUAAAGGCACGGCACACCCAGGAAUGUGUGGGUGAGACUGACCCUGGAGCCACGUUUGAUGUGGACCAACAGCACAGCUGAUUAUUCACUGGAAAAAACUCCUCUCUGCAUUGUCCAAUAUCAGGAAUGUUGAAAAAGGAGAGUGGGUGGCAUGGGCCUGGCAGCUAGAUAAGACAGACUUUUAGAGUCUCAUUGCUGGCUAUAUCACCAUGUGUGUGGAAUCCCAUUGCCAAGACAGCCAAUGUCAGGCUGAAGAAGGCCUGAAAGAGCUGCUCAUUGUUAUCCGGUCAACUCCAACGAAGUGUCAAACAGCUGACAUGGAGAAAGGACCAAGCACCACGGACACAUGGCGAUACAUUAUCAUGCAAAUAUUAACAGAGUCUGAGUACCCCUGGGAAAGGGAACCUGGAUGUACAAAAUCUUUUUGACGUCUAUUUCCAGAGCCCUGCUGAAGCCAGGCCCAGCAUCAGUCGAUGAGAAGACUGAUGCAGGAUGUCCCCUCUGCAAUUGGCACCAAGGGAAUUUGUGGAAGAUACUCUGCUUGGAUAAGACUGAAAUGCAAAACAACUGGUUUAAAAACAUUUAAACCAAUUAAACUGACUUUAAUCUCAGAAUUCUGACUUUAAUGUCAGAAUUAGG